AUGCCCUUUCUGGAGAAGCCUGGCUGGUACAAACUGGUUCCUGUUUUAGUUCUGAGCUGAUGUGGGCACACUGCAAAUACCACCUCAGAACUAACCUGGCCAGGCCUGCAGAUGGAAAUCUCAGGAGGGCUGCCAAUGGAUGGCUCACAGAAGGGCUGCAAAGCAGCCUCAUCUACAAUCCAGAGUAUGUAUUAUAAAUAUGUCAUUUUUCUACAGGUGCCACGGAACAGAUGCCAGGAAAUGCCAUUUCUAUCCAUGUUCAGGUUCCUCACCUAGAACUGUGCCUCACCCAAGCAUGGUGUUCUAUGGGUCAGAUGUCAGCCAGAAGUCCAUCGCCUCAAAAAAACUAAGGGAUUUAUUAUGCUCUUUAAAUAUGAAGGGAUCCCUCCAAUUGACAUUUCUGAAUGCCCAACACUGUACCAUCUGCCAACUUAUUUACUCUCCAAAAGCCACUUAAAGACUAUUGAUCUUUCUUUCCUAGACAUGGAAGCAGAAACAAAGCGUAUGUAACUCUGCCGGAGUCACACAGCUAUAGGUUGUCAGAGGCAGGGUCUGGCCAGAGACAGUUUGACUCUUUACGGAUAAGUAGCACUGCCUUGCCCUGUGGAUGACAGGAGAGGCCUGUGGCUAACAAAGGAAAGUGGGCUUCUACCCCACUGUGUGUUUGCUGUGUGUUGUGAGUUCAUGGAAUUCUUAUUACUCAUCAGGGUCUCAGACACAUCCCUCUCUUGGUGUUUAUUAAGCAUUUCCAACUGCAGUGGAAAUCCUGGACUCAUGUAUUCACUGUUGUGUCCACCUGACAUAGCAGAAGGGACAUAUGACCAUCUUGGUUCCAAGGUACCUGUUACUUAUUUCAGUUUUUAUUUAGCACACAAGGUUACAAGUUCUUACUGAAUUCAGGGAAAACAUACUCUUUGGCUAGGGUCGAACAUACUUUUGUAACAUUGUACUUCUUGCUUAAUUGGUUUGAAGAGAAAAAAACUGUAUCAAAGUCUUGGAGACAGACACAUUACAAAUGUUAGGAGUGUUCAUUAAGGUGAUUUCCUACAGAAACUUAGUUUCAUUUGUUAAAGAAAACAAAGACUAGAGAGAAAGGUCAGUGUGUGUGUGUGUCUGUGUGUGUGUGUGUGUGUGUGUGUGUGUGUGUACACUUACUGUGCACAAAACCCUGGGUUCUAUUUCUGGCACCUCUCUCCUACCUGACACAUUUUUAAGGAUGUGUCUGUCUGUCCGUCUGCUUGUCUUCUGAGUCAAGAAGAGUGUUUGAUCCCCUUUGAACAGGAGUUGCAGGUGUUUGUGAACCACCAUUAUGAAUUUUUGGAACUGAAUUUAAGACCUCUGCAAGAGCAGCCAGAACUCAUCUCUCCAGUCUAAGUCAUCAUGGCCUUUUUUUUUUUUUUUUUUUAAAGAUAAGAAUCUCACUCUGUAAACCAGGCUGGCCUUAAACUCAUAGAGAUCCACUUGCCUGUCUUCCAAGUUCUGAGAUUAAAGGGGUGAGCCAACCCCCUCCUUGUUACAUUUUAAAAUGCGGUUUAGAUUCCUUUAUAUAGGCCCCUUACUUGUAGAGGGAAAUUUCCCCAAAUUAAAAUUCUUUCAAGAACAUUUCCAAAUAAUCAACUUUCCAAAUUAAGUCUAUUAACAUGAGUGAUGUGUGACUCCAUAUUUGAUAGGGGGCUCUUGAUUCAAUUAGUGUCUUAGCAGCCUGGAGUCAGAUGUCAUUUCCAACACAGCAGUAUGUGGGAGAGCGUAGACGCCUAGUAAAUGCGUGUCUAAUGAACUUGUUGCAAUGCAUUAGAUUUUCAUUUUCUUAGGUAAUUUUCAAAUAUUUACUCGUAAAGGUUUCACUUUGCUUAUGAGUUCCCUAGUUGCUUCUAACUACAUUAAUUUACUUUUGCAAAUUGUAGAGUAAAAUACAGCUCCUCUUGGGGACAGCCUAGAAGAUUCUGUGACCCUAUGUGAUCCAGCAUGGGACAGACACAUUCACCUUGCAAUUGAUGAAGUCAGUUAUUACACGUGAUUUCAAUGAAAGGCUUAAGUAUUUGGUACCUGACAUUUUUCUUUCAGAAGAUGCAUUUUAUCCUGGUAUUAUCCUUCCUACGGUGUGUUCUCAUGAGUGCCUGUAUGUGCAUGUGUAUGUGUGUUUGCAUAUGUAUGUGCACUUGCACAAGUACACAUGAGCCACUGAGGUGAUACUGAGCUGUGAGGAGGGGCUGCAUAGGACUCUGUGAGGAGAUCGCAAGGUGUUAGCAAUUUCAGAUCCAUUCUAGUGAAUGAGCAUUUCAUGAAUUCCCUUUUGCUCAGGGCCCCAUGACUGACAGUUGGUUCAACCUUUUUUGUCCUUAAAACAAAUGCUACAUCAGAGUAGCUCUGCAUAUGGCAUUAUUUCCAAUGCAUAUGCAGUGGUGUGAAAGAAAAUGGCCCUCAUAUGCCCAUAGGCAGUGGUACUAUUAGGAGGUGUGGCCUUGUUAAGUGCAGGUGUGUUCCUACGGGGUGGCUUUGAGGAGUCAGAAGCUCAAGUCUGUCCAGUGUGUAACUUUCACCUCCUGCUGUCUGCUGAUCCAGAUAUAGAACUCUCAGCUCCUUCUCCAGCACUAUGUCUGCCUGCACGCCGCCAUGCUUCCAGCCAUGAUGAUUGAUAAUGGACAAAACCUCUGAACCUGUAAGCUAGCCCCAAUUAGAUGUUUUCCUUUAUAAGAGUUGCCUUGGUCAUCGUGUCUCUUUACAGGAAUGAAACCCUAACUAAGACAGCAUCCAAAAGUAUUUUUCCUUCAUGGUUUCUUUAGUCUUUUCUCUGCUUUCAAUUCUGUAUCCCACUGUCUCUGCUCUUUGCUUUAAGUGAAAUUUUCCUUCUGGACGAAAGCAGCAGGAACACACUUCUGCCAACGGGGGCUUUAAGAAUCCCCAUUACAGAGCAGCCCCCAAGGGGCCGUAGUACAAUUAAUCCCUGUCUGAGCCGCUAGAGUCUAAAAAAAUAAAAUAAAAUAAUAAUUUAAAAAAUGUUCUAAAUAGCCCAUCCCUUACCAUCCCUGCUACCCUGAGCUGCAGGAGAAUGGGGUCAUGAGCUGGGACGAAUAUUUUUCCAAUCCUCAGACACCAUCCAGUUCACGGGAUGGAUGAAACUAAAACAUGGUUCAUUCCAAAUGAAGUUCGGGUUAGAUGGAUAAAAUAUACAAUGAGUGGAGGGCAGGCUUUCGACACUGUAAUUAUGGGACAUACACUGUGAGCUGGAACUGGAGCUGAAACUUGCCUAUGUGUUUCUGAGAGGACAUAAAGGAACAGGAGUCUGUCUUGGUAUUCAUUAGUGCAUGCAAAUGUCAAGUAGGCCUCUGUCCCUUUCCCAGAUCCCAUAGGCUCUUUACCAGUGUCUAUAAGAAGCAUCCUUAGCCUUUAAGGCCAGGUACUGGCUGGGUUUCAGGGCUUUUGGCUUAAUUGCUUUUAUUAUAGGCGCACAGCAUUCAUCAGUCAGCCCAGGAAGGAUGCUGGCUGGGUCAUUAGCACAGCAACUCUUGCUGAUGAGGUCUUAGCCACCAAAAAAGGAUGUUCAAGCCAUCCCUUCAGGCAGGGAGUGAUUAGGUGGGUUCCUGUAGGGUGUGACUCUAAUUAUUCUAACCCCUUUUAGUGGGUUGCCUAGACAACUAUUGUGAUGUUUUUAAAAGCUGCAGUCUUCUCUCCAUUAAAACCACUCACAGCCUUGGGAUGCACCUGUAAUUUUGGACCAGAUCUAUCAGAAAUACAAUCAUAACUACAAGGAGGUCCUUCGUUGGUCAAAUGCACAGCUCUCCAGGGCGACAGCAUGCUGAUGGUCAUCCGAACGUCUGGAGAUCAAUGUCAAGAAAGUUCUAGUAACGAUCAACAAACCCCUGCUUUCUUUUUCUCAUUAUAAAAAAUGCUAAGAGGG